UUUAACUAUUUUGGUAAUUCAAUGUUUGUUUAACAAGUCUUAAGGUUAUAAAAAAUCGUAUGCAGGAAAACAUAGAGAUCAUUUGAAAUUAUUAAGUACCUAUCUCUAUAGCAAACAAUGCACUAAGAAAGAAGUAAAGACCAUACACACUUAUGACUACCAACCCUCCCCCUUAAAAAAAGAAGAAAGUAACAAAGCUGAAGUCACAAGCACACUAACCUUAUUAUACAUACAAUGUAUAUUUGAUAAUACAGUAGAAUGGACAUAAAUAAUAACCCAUACAC
rnacentral:lncRNA from 1 species